CAAAAACAUAAAGUUAGUUAACCCAAAAAAAUAAAAAAUAUGGCAAAUAUUAUUUCAUUUAUGAAAUUAAUGUUAAUGCUUAUUUUGAUCUCUAAUUCACAAUUUGUUAAUUGUAAAUUGGAUCAAAAAUGUUUUAGGGAUUGUAUUAAAGCAUGUUUCCAAAACCCUGGAUGUUAUAUAUCAUGUGCAAAAGAAUGUCAAGUUUCUUCUCUUAAUUAUAAUGUUUUUUCUACAAUGGAUUAUUGCAAUCUUGGUUGUUCAAUUGAUAAGUGUGCAAGUUUAAUCAAAGAUGACAAACAAUGGAAAGGAUGCAUGAAGGAUUGUUUUGGCGAUUAUUGCAAAAUUGGAGCUUAAAAGAUAAAUUAGAAAAUUAAUUAAUUAAUGUGAUAUCAUUAAUUAAUGUUGUGAAUGAAAAAGUAAUCAUAAUGUCUAUCUUUUCUAUAUAAUAAAUAUAGGUGUUUUUCUUGAAUCUCUAUUUUAAAAAACUAAUUGAAAGAUAAUAUUUCUGUUUUAUAUUUAA